rnacentral:rRNA from 1 species
UACGUAGGGACCAAGCGUUGUUCGGAUUUACUGGGCGUAAAGGGCGCGUAGGCGGCAAUUCAAGUCAGCUGUGAAAUCUCUGGGCUUAACCCAGAACGGCCAGCUGAUACUGCUUUGCUAGAGUGCAGAAGGGGCAAUCGGAAUUCUUGGUGUAGCGGUGAAAUGCGUAGAUAUCAAGAGGAACACCUGGAGGUGAAGACGGGUUGCUGGGCUGACACUGACGCUGAGGCGCGAAAGCCAGGGGAGCAAACGGG